AGAGUUUGAUCCUGGCUCAGGACGAACGCUGGCGGCGUGCCUAAUACAUGCAAGUCGAACGGUCUUUUCUAUGGAAGCUUGCUUCCACUGAGAAGAUAGUGGCGAACGGGUGAGUAACACGUGGGUAACCUGCCCAUAAGAGGGGGAUAACAUCCGGAAACGGGUGCUAAUACCGCAUAGUUUUCUUGAUCGCAUGAUUGAGAAAGGAAAGACGGCCUUUGUGCUGUCGCUUAUGGAUGGACCCGCGGCGUAUUAGUUAGUUGGUGAGGUAACGGCUCACCAAGACGAUGAUACGUAGCCGACCUGAGAGGGUGAUCGGCCACAUUGGGACUGAGACACGGCCCAAACUCCUACGGGAGGCAGCAGUAGGGAAUCUUCCGCAAUGGACGAAAGUCUGACGGAGCAACGCCGCGUGAGUGAAGAAGGUUUUCGGAUCGUAAAACUCUGUUGUCAGAGAAGAACAAGUUGGAGAGUAACUGCUCCAGCCUUGACGGUAUCUGACCAGAAAGCCACGGCUAACUACGUGCCAGCAGCCGCGGUAAUACGUAGGUGGCAAGCGUUGUCCGGAUUUAUUGGGCGUAAAGCGAGCGCAGGCGGUUCCUUAAGUCUGAUGUGAAAGCCCACGGCUCAACCGUGGAAGGUCAUUGGAAACUGGGGAACUUGAGUGCAGAAGAGGAGAGUGGAAUUCCAUGUGUAGCGG
rnacentral:rRNA from 1 species